rnacentral:rRNA from 1 species
GAUGAACGCUGGCGGCGUGCCUAAUACAUGCAAGUCGAGCGAACAGACGAGGAGCUUGCUCCUCUGACGUUAGCGGCGGACGGGUGAGUAACACGUGGAUAACCUACCUAUAAGACUGGGAUAACUUCGGGAAACCGGAGCUAAUACCGGAUAAUAUAUUGCACCGCAUGGUUCAAUAGUGAAAUACGGUUUUGCUGUCACUUAUAGAUGGAUCCGCGCCGCAUUAGCUAGUUGGUAAGGUAACGGCUUACCAAAGCAACGAUGCGUAGCCGACCUGAGAGGGUGAUCGGCCACACUUGAACUGAGCCAGGGUCCAGACUCCUACGGGAGGCAGCAGUAGGGAAUCUUCCGCAAUGGGCGGAAGCCUGACGGAGCAACGCCGCGUGAGUGAUGAAGGUCUGCGGAUCGUAAAACUCUGUUAUUAGGGAAGAACAAAUGUGUAAGUAACUAUGCACGUCUUGACGGUACCUAAUCAGAAAGCCACGGCUAACUACGUG